ACAAACUAAGAGAUACAAAGGGAAAGUGUGACUGUUCUGACAGCAAAAACAAGCAAUAUUCUCCAGAGGGGAUAUCCCUCUGCUUCAAGUAAGCGGAAGCAAGCAAGGCCAGCCAGCUUCACUGGGAACAACACCUGUCCAUCAGACAAGGCUGAGUUAAU
rfam:Ochotona princeps cont2.116307, whole genome shotgun sequence.